AGAUGUUUAGAUGAUAUAUCUACGAUUUAAUCAAUUCAUUGUACAUAUAUUGUAGCUUCAUCGCCGAUUUAUUCACGUGUACCAUUAGUGGAAUUCUACGCUAUUUUGAAGAAAUAAGGCAUUGUGGUUCUUCAUGGCAAGACAUUUUACUGACAAACUGGCUUAAAUUCUCUACUGAGCAUGGUAUAGGGGCUAACAUCGGGGCAGAACAAGUUAAACAAUUAGAGAUAAUGAGAUGCUAGAUGGACCAAUAUCAGAUAACAGUUUGAAAAUCAUGCAUUUACUGCAUCUGUGAUAGUCGGAUCCCCCUAAGAAUAACUGAACAUUUAAGCAAUCUGUAUAAUGAAUAAAUGAACUGCCUUGUUUUUGGAAAACACAAGUUCCAAUUU